rnacentral:tRNA from 2 species
GCGGAUGUAGCUCAGCUGGAUAGAGCGUCGGUCUACGAAACCGAAGGUCGCAGGUUCGAAUCCUGCCAUCCGUA